rnacentral:rRNA from 1 species
UACGUAGGGGGCUAGCGUUGUCCGGAAUCAUUGGGCGUAAAGAGCGUGUAGGCGGUUCAGUAAGUCCGCUGUGAAAGUCAAGGGCUCAACCCUUGAAUGCCGGUGGAUACUGUUGAACUAGAGUCCGGAAGAGGCGAGUGGAAUUCCUGGUGUAGCGGUGAAAUGCGCAGAUAUCAGGAGGAACACCGAUUGCGAAGGCAGCUCGCUGGGACGGUACUGACGCUGAGACGCGAAAGCGUGGGGAGCAAACAGG